UACGGAGGAUGCAAGCGUUAUCCGGAAUGAUUGGGCGUAAAGCGUCCGCAGGUGGCUGUGUAAGUCUGCUGUUAAAGAGUCUAGCUCAACUAGAUAAGAGCAGUGGAAACUACACGGCUAGAGUACGUUCGGGGCAGAGGGAAUUCCUGGUGUAGCGGUGAAAUGCGUAGAGAUCAUGAGGAAGACCAGUGGCGAAGGCGGGUCUCUGGACAGUUCCUGACACUGAGGCACGAAGGCCAGGGGAGCAAACGGG
rnacentral:rRNA from 1 species